UUGGGCUGCACAGAGCUGGGGACAAGUCUGAGCCACUUCCAGGCUCCUGUGGCGCAUGCGCAGAAGGCGGGGCAGCUUCAGGGCUCCAGCGCGCAUGCGCCGGGUUGUCUCGAACACAGCCAGUGCAUGUGCACGAGGCCCUCACGCGCGACCCGGCUCCACGCGCGGCCUCACCUGCGUGUGCUCGCCCUCACGGAAGGCCUGGGCCACGCGGCCCCGCAGUCCUCGGAAGACCCUGGCAAAGAAGUGGAUGGGGAAACAGCAGAGAAGAGGCGAGGAGAAGCAGAGAACAUGACAGACAAAUAGGAAUUCACUGAUACCCAGGGCAGAAAACCAUGCCAGGCAAGCAGGAGGCAAAGAAGGAAAAGCAGGGAAGAUGGCAGAUGAGUGACUAAGGAAGGAAGAAACCCCCGCCAGCCCACCAGGAGAGAAAGGUCCCUGCAGGGCAGCUGAAGAAGAACGAAUGGAAGCAGGAAAAGAAAGCUCAGCAACAACAAGUGUGGGUUGGGGUGGGCAGGAGGGAGGGAGCGAAAUGUUUAAUGUAUGCUUAGAUAGGUACAGAUGGAGACUGUUGUGCACAUCUCUACACUUUCAAACACCCAUUAGGAGCAAGCAGCCACAUGCUUCAAGCAGCACCAUGCAUUCGGUCUUGGGUUGGCCCCAAAUUGUGUUCGACGAGGUUGAGGCUUUGUGCUAGUUGUGCGUAUUGAUAUGCAGCAGUCAAGAGUUUUUCAGGUUGUCUGGCUCUGCUAGUUAAGCAGUUGAUCAAAAUAGAUGUGUGAUUGAAGGCAGUGUGUAGGUUUUUCUUGGUUGGGUUGUUGAACAGUUCUCGGUGUUAGUGUAGAAAUGCAAGUUUGUGCUCAGUUCUGUUUGUGACUUGGCUGUAGCUUGCAGGGUCAAUUUGAGGCUGUUUGUGGUGCAGUUUGUUCGCGUCUGUAAGUUAAGGCUCCAUGGGUGUUCAAAAGUGUUUAAACUCCAGCUUCAAGGGGACAAAGAUCUCAACCUGUGUCCAAACAAUCAUAAAGGUAGUUGGCGUGCUCAGCAUCAAACUGGUAGGAGCAAGUGGUCCUAAGAUGUGCACAGUUGCACGAUAAAUGGUAUAAAAAACUUCAUCUUGUGCUUUUCUACAGAGAAGCUUUGGUCAUUAGCCUUUCCUGUUGAGGGCUGACUGAAGGGAUAAACUUUUUCAUUCUGUCUGCCGAUCCAAUCUGUGUUCUUACGUGUUUAAUGCAAAUAUUUCCCGUUCUGACUGGCCAAUGGUAAAAGCAUACGUAGCGGACUGUUCCUAGUCAUCAGUUUACAAUUGUUAAUGCACUGUAGGAAAUCAGUCCUGAUUUUUGGAGGAAUUAAAAAAUAAAGUACAGCGAAGUUGUGGUGCUUUGUAUAAUUUGGUGAAGUUCAGCUGAUCCUUGUCUAAAAAGAAAAAAAAUAGUCCCAAUAAAAAUAAAAUGCUCAGGAGACUUGUGAGCUUCUUGGUGUUUUUUUUUAUUUUAGUUGUUUCAGACCUUCUUCUCUGAACACCUUUAGUACAAGUCUUGCUGCCUCUAAUGGCAGGGUGGGUGCUUUUUCUCUAAGGGCUGGGUCCCAGCGGUGGGAAGCUGCAUUGUCACCGUUGCAAGGAGAACGACUGCGUGGAUCCCCAGCUGCCUCCAGGUUUUCGUGAGUCCCUUAAGUCCAGCUGCGGUCCCCUUUGCCUGUUUAAUGUAAUGUCUGCAGGCUUCCAGCCAGCAUUACCCAUGUCAUCCCUGAGGGGCUGCUGAGUUCGG